CCAUUGGUUGUGGUGGUGCCGCCGUUGCGCUUUCAGCCAUUGGUUGUGGUGGUGGUGCUAUCGCUGCGGUUUCUGCCAUUGGUCGUGUCCGGACUGAUCGCCGGCUUGUGAUGGGGAUCGAUCACCGGCGAGUCCCCGACGUUUCUUGUGAUUGUGUGGACGUGGGAAGAAGCAGCCGCGGGGAUGCAGACAAUAGCUUUGGCUUCCCCGCUUCACCGGAAUGGGGACGCAUGACUCGUCUCAGGCAGAACCAAAAUAAGGGUGCAUGUUACAUGAACGUGUGGCUUUCUGCGAGUACGUACAUUAAAAUGGAGAAGGUCUAUAUCAGGGGCGUGUCUUUAAUGCGCGCCACGGACCGUUCGCAUGAAUGGGUCACUGGGCAAACCAUUUUAUCGGAUGGUGCUGGUCACAUCCAGUUUUUGGAUGCAUAAUGAAAACAGAGGGAAAACAAAGGGAACACCAAAUGAACACAAAUUCGCGAUGACCAUGGUGAAAGAGAAACUAAACUCUACCAUGCAUGGGAUAUUGCAUCUUGUUGGAGAUUCUUGCGCAUACGUGAUUAUCUUCUCUGCGUGC
rnacentral:lncRNA from 1 species